rnacentral:ncRNA from 1 species
UCGUGGUCCGCGGGCGUCCCGGACGAGUUGCGUGUCGUACCCGGCCUGACAAGACGACCGCCCC